CCCUGCCAGUAUACAUUCUCUACCUCUCCCACCCCUUGCCUCCUCAUUCCAUUCCUCCCUUUCUCUCUCUGUCUCUGUCUCUCCCUGACUCCAAGUCCCUUAUAUAUGACCAUGAUCAACCUUAGACAAGUUAUUACUAUCUAUAUAUCAUCAAGAAAGAUCAUGAGUUCAUUCCCAUCUUCUUCAAUUUAUCUUUGAACCCUAGUUGAGCUGAUUGCUUCAACAUUCCAUAAAUAUCUUGAUUGAUCCAUUCCUAAUGGCCAGCUUUUGUUUCUUGAUGUUAAUCAAAUUAGCACUGCCACUCCUCUAUUAACAUUUGUCCAGCUCUUUAAUUUUCUUUUCUUGGUGCAACAAUGAUUUCUAUUUUAUUUUAUUUUUUUGCCUUUUAUUUAUUGUUUUAUGUUUUCAUGUGGUGUAAGAAUAUCGUUUCUAAAUCCCAGCUAAAUUAUAAUUGAAUAAUAGGGUUUUCUUUAAUCGAUAUAUUUUUUAUACUCGCGCGUGUUUGAUAAGUAUUAUGAAUAUAUUAAUUAUUUAUGCCUUUUAAAAGUCUAGAUUUUAUUUUUUUUGCUUUGAGAAUAAAUCUUGAUUUUAAUUGACUGAGUUCAAGGAAUAUAUAUAAAUGAUCAUGAUUUCUAGAUCCCACUUCAUGACUAUAACCACCAACAAGACCACCACCUCCACCUCUUACUCCACCGAGCCACCAUCCUUUUCCCUACCAAGAGAUAUAUAGAUACCGUAAAUGAUCAUAUUAUUGUCCUUUGACAAGUCGUAUGUGACCAUAUCUAGUGUUUCUUUAUUCAAGUACACACUUUUUUCCCUUUUGGUUGGUAAGUGGCACCAAGCCUGCAGCAGCUAGCAAGUUUGAAAAGCUAAAACCUGUUCACAUUAUAAACUUAUCGUGAUAUUGUCCGUCUUUCCCUUGCUCUUCAGCAUGCAGCGUUUCCAAGAAGAAGCUGUACCAGGAGCUAGACAAAGGUAUGUAACUCCAUUGCUCUCCUUAAUCUCAAUAGAUUAACAAGUUAGGGUUCUUCCCGAAUUUAACUUGUUUAAAUUUUUUUACAGUAUAUUUAGUAAGAUGGAAGAUAGGCACAAGGGAUUAGGUCCAAUAUCCAAGUUAUUACAAACUAGAAGAUUGAAAAAUGUGAAUAUAUAAGAGAGGAAUGAGAUUUUAUUCAUUAUUUCAAUAUUUUAUCCAAGAUACAAAGCAAAUUGAGCACCCAUUUCGCCCCUCCAAUUAGAUACAAUGAUAAGGGCUUGGGGUGAUCAUCCACUCCUCCCCACAAAAUAUACGAAGUUAAUUACUUCUAUCUGUAUGUUCAAGUUCUUAACGUAGACAGAUAGUUAACUUACCAAAAAGGAUACAUGUAGACAAUUCUCUCAACAUUGAAGUCACUUGCCAAGAACCUCGAUGGUAUAUACGAGCUUGAAUAAUAUUACAUUCAUACUUGUAUGUACUAUCAAAUCAUAGGAGAGAUGUUUGACAUUGACAUGAUGGGAUAUCAAGACAUGUUUUAAGGGAUUUGUGGUUUAAUAUUGUAUUAAGCUUAGAAUAUAACAAUGAUUCUUCUUUGUUUAGCAUCUAUUAGUAGUCCUUGAUGUCGCUUACUGGCUUCAAUUACUUAAUUGAAGAAUAUAUAGACUCAUAAGUGACCCCCCCCCCCCAACCCCUGGCCCCCAUUAAAUUAAAUUUCUAGAUUAGCUAUAGUAUCUAUCCUUCCUUCUUUUCAGCAAUCUAUUUAACUAACAGAUUAAUCUUAUUGUAGAAAUUGGAAAUGUUGGGAGCAAAAUUUCAUGUAAAUAUGAAAACAAGAACAAAAAAUAAACAUUUACUUAACAUUUCUUGAUUCUCUAUAUUGCUUCAAAAAUAUAGAACUGAUAUUGUUGUGACUGCAUUCAAUUUGAUACAAUUUAACUAAUGAGGUUGCUGUGCUUACAAAUUAAGCCGGAUCAAUAUUCUUGUGAAAAUAUUUAGAAUCGUUUUCAGAACAUGAAACAAUUUCGUUUCUAACUUCAUAAUUCUCUGCAUGCCUUGUGCUAUAUAGAUACAUGUAUUGCGCCAAAAGAAGGAAAAGGGUUGUAUAAGUUAUUUAUAGAAGGGGCCUUUUUUAUAUUAAUUAACCUUAUAUGAUUUCAUGAUUCUAGGGCAUGGAUAUAUGUACGCAUGUACCAAAUAUAUAUUGCAGUUAUCUGUAUCUAGCUAGACGUUGGUGAUGGAAUUGCUUUGACUUCUUUGUGUGAACUUCUUUUUAAAGCAGUUUUUGCAGAUCUUUUUGUAGUCUUAAAGAAAAGAGAAAGAAAUAGCAUAUUUUAUUAUCCAAAAAAAAAGAGAGAAAGAAAUAGCUGAACUUGAUAUUGUUGGAAAAAGAUAAUUGCUGUUUUCGAAAUAAUAAGCUUUUUUGCUAGACGCCAACGAGGCUUCUAAAGUGAGUUGCAUUAUUUGGUUUCUGUCGGCAGAUUGUCAUUUGUCAAUAGUGAUCACUGUUACAUUUUUCCCCCAACUUUCUAGCUACUAGUGCAAAACUUCACCCUGUUUUGGGUCCUUCCUAGCUAGCUAGCAUUAUUUUUCAAUGGCCAUUAUCUUUUGGGUUAGUUUUUGUCCAUCUAAAUACAAAUAAUUAUUGCAGAUUGAUUUCUAGAAUGAACUAUGGAGUUGUCUAGCUAGAUCCAGCAGUACAUGCUCUUUAUUGUUUCAUUUUAAGAGAUUUAAGGCCAUGAAUCAUCACCUAUAUAUUCCUUUGAUUCAACCUUAUAUUUCUUGGAUCCUUAGGUAAUUAACAAGGUGCCAACAUUUCUACUUUGUAA